ACUCUAAAAAUGGCUGGGUUAUUUUUUAACCCAAAAUGCUGGGUUGAGUCUGUUGGGUUGUUUUGCUGGGUUAUUUUUUUACAUUUUAAACACUUUUUGGGUAGUUUCAGUUUUCUAGGUGUUGGGUUAAAACUGCUGGGUUAUUAUGUUGGGUUGUUUGAAGAGGCUCACGUGCUUCGCGCCCUUGAUGUUUGAAUGUGCUCAGCAAUGGUCGUCGUGAAAGGACAGAGUCACUGAAGCAGUUGUUUCAAGAGUGUGCAGAGUUUUUAUGUCCAUCCAUUGAUGAGGCUAGCAAGACCUUCAAACAACUUCAGCCAAUUGCAACAAAUGUGGUGGAAUUUCUUCUCUGGACAGAAUCCUCGAAACCCUUUCCUUUCGUCCUGGCCAUGGGAAACAUGCAGCAGAUCUCUCAAUCUUUUUUCUCAAUCAGUCUCUCUGAAUACGGAAGUGACUUAAACUGCAAUUCGGCCAAGAUGGCGACGGCACGCACCGCCUACUUUAAGCUUCAAAAAUGCUCUUCACAAACCAAUGGGUGACGUCACAGACACUACUUGCAUAUUUUUUACAGUCUCUGGUUUAAAGGCAUUUUAAGUGCUUAAAAAAAUAAAUACCCCAGGCAAUGUGCUUCUAUGGGAAUUCCUGUAGUCUGUCAUUUUUCAAAUGGAUGAAUCCCCUGCUGUUCGAUUCCUUUGUACAUCUUUGUUCGCGACGAGUAACUUUAAUAAAUGAAGUAUUUUUAGUCAAAUACAUUCCAUUCUGUGAAACUUAAAACAUUUGUUCUUUAAAAAAACUUUACA